UUUCGGCCCUUGUGGGAGUGGCGCACGGGUGAGUAGCGCGUGGGAACCUGCCCCUUUGUGGGGGAUAACCGAGGGAAACUUCGGCUAAUACCGCAUGCGCCCCCGGACGAGCCGAUGGGCGCGAGCCUGUGGGCUCGUCCCGGGGGAAAGAUUUAUUCGCAGAGGGAGGGGCCCGCGUCGGAUUAGCUGGUUGGUGGGGUAACGGCCCACCAAGGCGAUGAUCCGUAGCUGGUCUGAGAGGAUGAUCAGCCACACUGGGACUGAGACACGGCCCAGACUCCUACAGGAGGCAGCAGUGGGGAAUAUUGGACAAUGGGCGCAAGCCUGAUCCAGCAAUGCCGCGUGAGUGAUGAAGGCCUUCGGGUUGUAAAGCUCUUUCGCCCGCGACGAUGAUGACGGUAGCGGGAGAAGAAGCCCCGGCUAACUUCGCGCCAGCAGCCGCCGUAAUAC
rnacentral:rRNA from 1 species